GUGAAUCAUCGAAUUUUUGAACGCAAAUUGCGCUCUCUGGCAUCCCGGGAAGUAUGUCUGUUCGAGGGUCAGUAUUAAUAAAAAAUCGGCUUAGUUACAAAUUGUGACGUUUCCGGAGUUUGGGUUAUAUUAACAUUUUUGGUUAAGAGGCUUAAAAUUGAUUUUUUUUGCGUAUUUUUUAAUGUACAUAAAUUUUUUUAUUCGUUUAUUUUUAAUGCUAAACUCUUAUUAGAUGCGAUCACAUAGCG
rnacentral:misc_RNA from 1 species